GAAAAGAACCAGAACAACUGACCCCAGCAGGCCAAAGGGAUGUCCUGUACUAUGUGGCACCGUGCUGAAUAAUGCAACUGGGGGACCUGUCUGAGGAGCUACCCCUACUCUGGCUCUGGCUAGGUAUUUGUCAGCAGUGUCCUCCCAGCUGUGAUCCUUUAUCAUCAAAUUCGGAGACUUCAGGUCUCUUCCUCCCUGCGAGCCCAGAAGGACUCCCAAGAACCAGAUGAGGCUUCUCAUAAGGAAGGACUCUACAUCAUCUUAUCUAGAGCUGGCACCUGUGUGAGGCCUUCUGGAGAAACAGCCGUGAAUAUUUAACAAGAGAUAUAAAAAUACAAGGAAAUGAAGACGGAUGUAAGAAGUGCUCUAGCAACCAUUUGUGCUUCAUCUGGAUUUCCCAUAAAACCAAGGGGUUCCAUCUUUUUGCUCAUGGAAUGGCUUGGGUUGGAAGGAAUCUCAAGAAUCAUCAAGUUCCAAGCACCCCUGCUACAGGCAGGGUUUCCAACCGCUUGAUCAAGUAGAAGACCAGGCUGCCCAGGACCCCAUUCAACCUGGCCUUGAACACCUCCAGGAAUGGGGCAUCCACAACCCCUCUGGGCAGACUGUUCCAGCACCUCACCACUCUCUAAGUGAAAAACUUUCCCCUGAUAUCUUAUCUAAAUAUUCCCUCCUUUCAUUUAAAACCACCAUUCCCUUUUGUCCUAUCACUAUCUACCUGUGUAAAAAGUUGGUUUACCUCCCUUUUAUAAAUUCCCUUUUAUUAUUCAAAGGUUGCAAUGAGGUCUCCCUGCAGACUUCUCUUUUCCAGGCUGAACAACCCCAGUUCCUUCAGUCUGUCUUCAUAGGAGAGGUGCUCCAGCCCUCUCUUCAGCUUUGUGGCCCUCCUCUGGACCCUCUCCAACAGCUCCAUAUCUUACCUGUGUUGGGGG
ensembl:lncRNA